UACGAAGGGGGCGAGCGUUGUUCGGAUUUACUGGGCGUAAAGGGCGCGCAGGCGGUUCUGUUUGUCGAGUGUGAAAGCCCCGGGCUCAACCUGGGAACUGCCGCUCGAAACGGCGGAACUAGAGUUCGGGAGAGGAGAGUGGAAUUCCCAGGAUGUAGAGGUGAAAUUCGUAGAUAUUGGGAAGAACACCGGUGGCGAAGGCGGCUCUCUGGACCGAUACUGACGCUGAGGCGCGAAACGUGGGGAGCAAACAGG
rnacentral:rRNA from 1 species